GGCUGCCUGGCGCAAUGGUAGCGCAUCUGGCUUCGAUUGCCAAGGGCCUAGACGCUGAAAUUGAUCGCGUGAUUAGCAACCAGAAGGUUGCAGGUUCGAGACCUGCGGUAGUCA